rnacentral:rRNA from 1 species
GGGAUCCUACGGGGGGCAGCAGUGGGGGAUAUUGCACAAUGGGGGAAACCCUGAUGCAGCGACGCCGCGUGAGCGAUGAAGUAUUUCGGUAUGUAAAGCUCUAUCAGCAGGGAAGAAAAUGACGGUACCUGACUAAGAAGCCCCGGCUAACUACGUGCCAACGGCCGCGGUAAUACGUAGGGGGCAAACGUUAUCCGGAUUUACUGGGUGUAAAGGGAGCGUAGACGGCAGUGCAAGUCUGAAGUGAAAGGCAAGGGCCCAACCCUUGGACUGCUUUGGAAACUGUGCUGCUCGAGUGUCGGAGG